rnacentral:rRNA from 1 species
GACGAACCGUGCGAACGUUGUUCGGAAUCACUGGGCUUAAAGGGCGCGUAGGCGGGUUCGCAAGUCUGUGGUGAAAGCCUCCAGCUUAACUGGAGAAGUGCCGUGGAUACUGCGAAUCUUGAGGAGGGUAGGGGCGUCUGGAACGGUCGGUGGAGCGGUGAAAUGCGUUGAUAUCGACCGGAACUCCGGUGGCGAAGGCGAGGCGCUGGACCCUUCUGACGCUGAGGCGCGAAAGCCAGGGAGCAAACGGG